UACUAAGAACUUUCCAGAGAUGGAUUGGUGCCUUCGGGAACUUUAGAUACAGGUGCUGCAUGGCUGUCGUCAGCUCGUGUCGUGAGAUGUUGGGUUAAGUCCCGNAACGAGCGCAACCUUUUCCUUAUUUGCCAGCGGGUCAUGCCGGGAACUUUAAGGAUACUGCCAGUGACAAACUGGAGGAAGGCGGGGACGACGUCAAGUCAUCAUGGCCCUUACGGCCAGGGCUACACACGUGCUACAAUGGUCGGUACAAAGGGUUGCUACCUCGCGAGAGGAUGCUAAUCUCAAAAAGCCGAUCGUAGUCCGGAUCGCAGUCUGCAACUCGACUGCGUGAAGUCGGAAUCGCUAGUAAUCGCGGAUCAGAAUGCCGCGGUGAAUACGUUCCCGGGCCUUGUACACACCGCCCGUCACACCAUGGGAGUUUGUUGCACCAGAAGUAGGUAGUCUAACCGCAAGGAGGACGCUUACCACGGUGUGGCCGAUGACUGGGGUGAAGUCGUAACAAGGUAAGCGUAGAUGA
rnacentral:rRNA from 1 species